UCUAUUUGUGCACAGUAGAAUGUCUGUCUG
rnacentral:piRNA from 1 species